GUGAGGAAUAUUGGACAAUGGGCGCAAGCCUGAUCCAGCCAUGCCGCGUGCAGGAAGACGCAUCUAUGGUGUGUAAACUGCUUUUGUACGGGAAGAAACACUCCCUCGUGAGGGAGCUUGACGGUACCGUAAGAAUAAGGAUCGGCUAACUCCGUGCCAGCAGCCGCGGUAAUACGGAGGAUCCAAGCGUUAUCCGGAAUCAUUGGGUUUAAAGGGUCCGUAGGCGGUUUAAUAAGUCAGUGGUGAAAGCCCAUCGCUCAACGAUGGAACGGCCAUUGAUACUGUUAGACUUGAAUUACAAGGAAGUAACUAGAAUAUGUAGUGUAGCGGUGAAAUGCUUAGAUAUUACAUGGAAUACCAAUUGCGAAGGCAGGUUACUACUUGUGGAUUGACGCUGAUGGACGAAAGCGUGGGGAGCGAACAGGAUUAGAUACCAGAGUAGUCC
rnacentral:rRNA from 1 species